rnacentral:rRNA from 1 species
AGUCUGGUGCCAGCAGCCGCGGUAAUUCCAGCUCCAAUAGCGUAUAUUAAAGUUGUUGCGGUUAAAACGCUCGUAGUUGGAUUCAUGUGAUGUCUACUUUGGUCCGGCUAUGCCGCGCACUUGAGUGACGUUGCUUUUGUGGCCUUGGGGGCUUUGAUCCUUUACUGGGUUACUGCUCUGCUUGGUUACGUUUACUUUGAACAAAACAGAGUGUUUAAAGCAGGCAUAUGCCCUGAAUGAAUUAGCAUGGAAUAACAACAGGAUUUCCUUCCUGAUUUGUUGGUUUAUGGGAGGGAAAGUAAGGUUAAUAGGGUCAGACGGGGGCAUUAGUAUUUAAUAGUUAGAGGUGAAAUUCUUAGAUUUACGAAAGACUAACUACUGCGAAGCAUUUGCCAAGAAUGUUUUCAUUAAUCAAGAACGAAAGCCAGGGGAUCGAAGAUGAUCAGAUACCGUCGUAGUCCUGGCAGUAAACUAUGCCAUCUAGGGAUUGGAAGAUGUUAUUUUCAUGACUCUCUCAGCACCUUUCGAAAAUCAAAGUUUUUGGGUUCCGGGGGGAGUAUGGUCGCAAGGCUGAAACUUAAAGGAAUUGACGGAAAGGCACCACCAGGAGUGGAGCUUGCGGCUUAAUUUGACCCAACACGGGGAAACUUACCAGGUCCAGACAUAGUGAGGAUUGACAGAUUGACAGCUCUUUCUUGAUUUUAUGGGUGGUGGUGCAUGGCCGUUCUUAGUUGGUGGAGUGAUUUGUCUGCUUAAUUGCGAUAACGAACGAGACCUCAGCCUGCUAAAUAGUCCACGUGACUUUGGUCGCGCCGGGCUUCUUAGAGGGACAAUUGCGUGUUUUAACCAGAGGAAGAAUGAGGCAAUAACAGGUCUGUGAUGCCCUUAGACGUUCUGGGCCGCACGCGCGCUACACUGAUCAGGGCAAAAAGCUUUUCCUUGGCCGGAAGGUCUGGGUAAUCUUGAAAACCUGAUCGUGACUGGGAUUGUGUUUUGUAAUUAUCACACAUGAACGAGGAAUUCCUAGUAAGUGCAUCUCAUCACGGUGCGCUGAUUACGUCCCUGCCCUUUGUACACACCGCCCGUCGCUUCUACCGAUUGAAUGGUCCGGUGAGGCUAGGGGACGCAGCUCGGUCAUCGGGCAACCGAUCCGUGGCAGCGAAACUUAUCCGAACCUUAUUAUUUAGAGGAAGAA